UACGGAGGGUGCAAGCGUUGUCCGGAUUUAUUGGGUUUAAAGGGUGCGUAGGCGGCCCGGUAAGUCAGUGGUGAAAGCCUCCAGCUCAACUGGGGAACUGCCAUUGAUACUGCCGGGCUUGAGUACAGACGAGGUUGGCGGAAUUGAUUGUGUAGCGGUGAAAUGCAUAGAUACAAUCAAGAACUCCGAUUGCGUAGGCAGCUAACUAGGCUGUAACUGACGCUGAGGCACGAAAGCGUGGGGAGCGAACAGG
rnacentral:rRNA from 1 species